AUGCCAGGGCCUGGAGCCUCACGGGGUGGUCACAGGACCAGCAGCAACAUCUGCUUCAUCUGGGACCCUUUCAGAAAUGCAGAAUCUCAGGACCACCCUGGAACUCCUGAAUCAUAAUCUGCAUUUUAACAGGAAUCUCCUCAGGAAAAGAAGCUAAAAUGUCAAGAAAGAAGCCACAGGUUCCCCAUUUUUCACUGAGGAGCUGUGAGCAGCAAAAAGCAUCAUGCAGCAUUGGAGCCCCUUGGGUGAGGAGGAAUGACCUGCACAGCAGAGUCCUCAGGUGACGCUCUCAUAUGUCCCUGACAACAGGCGGAACAUCAGAUAUAGCAAAUACCAGCAAGAACACCAACAGAGCAAAGUCCGGGCAGGACCCGGAUCCCAGGAAAAGCCUGGCUGUUUCUAGUAAGGCAUGGGGAUUCUCAAAGUCACUAUUGUGUUCAUUGCACCUCUUUAAAAAAAAAAAAGCAAAAUAAACUCCACAUUUCCCUGUGUGUACAGAA